rnacentral:rRNA from 1 species
CCUACGGGAGGCAGCAGUGAGGAAUAUUGGUCAAUGGACGAGAGUCUGAACCAGCCAAGUAGCGUGAAGGAUGACUGCCCUAUGGGUUGUAAACUUCUUUUAUAUGGGAAUAAAAUGUUCCACGUGUGGGAUUUUGUAUGUACCAUAUGAAUAAGGAUCGGCUAACUCCGUGCCAGCAGCCGCGGUAAUACGGAGGAUCCGAGCGUUAUCCGGAUUUAUUGGGUUUAAAGGGAGCGUAGGUGGAUUGUUAAGUCAGUUGUGAAAGUUUGCGGCUCAACCGUAAAAUUGCAGUUGAAACUGGCAGUCUUGAGUACAGUAGAGGUGGGCGGAAUUCGUGGUGUAGCGGUGAAAUGCUUCGAUAUCACGAAGAACUCCGAUUGCGAAGGCAGUUCACUGGACUGCAACUGACACUGAGGCUCGAAAGUGUGGGUAUCAAACAGGAUUAGAUACCCGAGUAGUC